UCCGAGUUGACCCCGGCAGUCUCCUACGAGUCCCCGCCAUUACGCGCUGGCAACACAGGACAAGGGUUGCGCUCGUUGCGGGACUUAACCCAACAUCUCACGACACGUGCUGACGACAACCAUGCACCACCUGUGCAGGGCCCCGAAGGACACCGUAUCUCUACGGCUUUUCCCUGCAUGUCAAGCCCAGGUAAGGUUCUUCGCGUUGCAUCGAAUUAAAGAACAUGCUCCGCUGCUUGUGCGGGCCCCCGUCAAUUCUUUUGAGUUUUAGCCUUGCGGCCGUACUCCCCAGGCGGGGUGCUUAAUGCGUUAGCUGCGGCACGGAAGACGUCGAUAGCCUCCCACACCUAGCACCCAUCGUUUACGGCUGGGACUAC
rnacentral:misc_RNA from 1 species